rnacentral:lncRNA from 1 species
CGCCAAAGCUACUCUCCUCCGCCUUUCUUUGCUGGAGCACCAUCUCGGUGAACUUGAAGAUGGGAGAGAUCUCGGACGGUUCCAAGUGGAUGCGGUGGGGGAGUCCCUCGAUGGCGAAGCGCUCGGAACGGGAGGAGACGGCGGCGUGGUGGCCGCGGAACUCGAUGCUCCGAUGGACGCAGAGGAGAAAGGCGCCGGGGCCGUAGAAGACGAGGCGAGGUAUGCCGAGUUGGGCGGCGGUGGCGGAGGUCCAAGGGAACAUGGCAUCGGAGACGAGGCAGUCGGGGCGAUGUUGGCGGAGGAGGUCGUCGAGGGGGCCGGCGAGGGCGAACACGGCGUUCAUGAAGUCUGCAUGCUCUGCAGUAGUUAUGGCGCCGAGGUGCUCACCUGUGGAGGGUACAAGGUGGGCGACGGAGUCAGGGAAGGGGAGGAGGAGGAGGUCGACGACGGGCGUCCCGUCGUGGCGGCGAUCGAUGGCUGGGCGAACGAGGGGCUCGUUGCCGGGUGUGGUGACGACAGUGACGGCGGCGCCAUGGCGGGCGAAAAGCUUGGCGAUGUCGAUCAUAGGGAUCAUGUGGCCGG